CGAACCACCACCUCGCCGCCGGGCCGCUGCUGCCGUCGCUGGUGGGCCGCUGCCGCCGUCGCCGCUGGGUACACGGCGGUCUCAUCGCCGUCGACCGAGAGAGAUUUGGAUAGAUCGUGAAAAGGUGGUCAAAAGAGAUUAAUUUCGUCACGAAUCGCCGGACAGCCGCCGGAAUGCUGCCGGAAAGUCGCCGGACUACUGUCGCCGCUGCCGGGUAGAAUCUCCGGAAUCCGGCAGCUUCUUCACUCACGAGGUAUCGGGAUUCAAGGCGUGACUAUUGAGCAAGAUCCGAAGGGCAUGGAGAGUAUUUUAUUUUUAAUUAAUCUUUACUUAAACGUUGAACUCGUGUACGGACUUUUAUUUGAAACUCGGUCUUCACAAACGGACUUUUAUU